rnacentral:rRNA from 1 species
AACGUAGGGGGCAAGCGUUGUCCGGAAUUACUGGGCGUAAAGGGCGUGUAGGCGGCUGGUCAAGUCAAUAGUGAAACCCGACGGCUCAACCGUCGGCUUGCUGUCGAAACUGACUAGCUUGAGUGCAGGAGAGGAGAGUGGAAUUCCCAGUGUAGCGGUGAAAUGCGUAGAUACUGGGAGGAACACCAGUGGCGAAGGCGGCUCUCUGGCCUGCAACUGACGCUGAGGCGCGAAAGCGUGGGUAGCGAACAGG